GGGCUAAACCUUAAGGAUGG
rnacentral:siRNA from 1 species